UCUUAGAAAUCACAUAUGCCCAAUUCUAAAUGAGUAAUUGAAGAUUAACUACUCUUUCCUGGGGGAGUUUACAUUUUUAAAAGAAUCUAAGUCACGUCUUAAAGCAAUGCAUGUGCUUACAAGCAAUCUGGGGAAGUUACAGGCAGAGAUGAAGGGCUGGGCGCUCACACGCAACGCUGUGGUUGUCUCGGUGUGUGUUGAAGAGUCUCAGCCACAGUCUGCCUCCCCUCUGAAGGGUCCAGGUGUCCCACGGAGUGCCUUGGCAGGCUUUGCAGACAAGAUCUCACUGCAGCCACCUUCCUACAGGAACGCAGAUUUUCAUGGAUGAUAAAAAUGCCUUCGAGGAAUGAACAGAAAAGCUACAGAAAUUGAAUUAUAAUGGCAAAGUAAAAUACCAAAUUAAUCAGAAA